UGCAUUUUAACCUUUCCAGAUGUCCAUUAGAAUACCAGUGGAAUGAAAACUAUAAGAAAAAAAAUAAAUGUAUCAGCACAGGAGUCACGGAAGGAUUACAUUUAAAUUUCUUAAGGCUACACCGGGACCACCGAUUUGAACAGUAAUCAUCUGGUUUCCAAGUUCGUCUCAGGAAUUUGUUGUAAACGAUGCAAUGAAUAAAC
rnacentral:lncRNA from 1 species